UACGGGGGGAGCAAGCGUUGUUCGGAAUUACUGGGCGUAAAGCGCGCGUAGGCGGCUUUUCAAGUCGAUUGUGAAAUCCCCGGGCUUAACCUGGGAACUGCAGUCGAGACUGUCUAGCUAGAGUAUGGGAGAGGGAAGUGGAAUUUCAGGUGUAGCGGUGAAAUGCGUAGAUAUCUGAAGGAACAUCAGUGGCGAAAGCGACUUCCUGGACCAAUACUGACGCUCAUGUGCGAAAGCGUGGGGAGCAAACAGG
rnacentral:rRNA from 1 species